UACAGAGGUGGCAAGCGUUGUCCGGAUUUACUGGGCGUAAAGAGCGCGCAGGCGGUCGUUCAAGUCGCGUGUGAAAGCCCCCGGCUCAACUGGGGAGGGUCACGCGAUACUGAUCGACUCGAAGGCAGGAGAGGGAAGUGGAAUUCCCGGUGUAGUGGUGAAAUGCGUAGAUAUCGGGAGGAACACCAGUGGCGAAGGCGACUUCCUGGCCUGUUCUUGACGCUGAGGCGCGAAAGCUAGGGGAGCAAACGGG
rnacentral:rRNA from 1 species